UGACAGUGCAGCUAAGGCGUCGCACGGU
rnacentral:sRNA from 1 species